UAUCAAGUGAUUUAGAGGCGUAUGGUGGAUGCCUUGGCGCUUGGAGCCGAUGAAGGACGCAGCCGUGACGCGAUACGCUCCGGGGAGGUGCGGCAACCUUCGAUCCGGAGAUAUCCGAAUGGGGAAACCCGGCUGGCCGAUCAUCUGCCUGGCCUAAAAGCCAGGCGUACUAAAGCCGGUCAUCUCCGUCUGAAUAUAUAGGGCGGGGAAGGGAACUUAAGGGAACUGAACCAUCUCAGUACCUGGAGGAAGAGAAAGCCAAUAGCGAUUCCCCUAGUAGUGGCGAGCGAAAAGGGAACAGCCUAAACCCGGCGGAUGUAAAAGCCCGCAGGCGUUGUCCGUCCGGGGGUCGAGGGAGCCGCCUGAAAGACUCUGCGGAGCUUUCAGGAAGUUACAAAUCUCCCGCGUAGUUGAAGGAAGUGGAAACUUCCGCCAUAGAAGGUGAUAGCCCUGUAUGCGAAACGCGAGAGACUUCCGGCGGUUUCCCGAGUAACACGGGACAUGGACGACCUGUGUGAAUCUGGGAGGACCACCUUCCAAGGCUAAAUACUCCAGCGACCGAUAGUGAACUAGUACCGUGAGGGAAAAGUGAAAAGAACCCCGGGAGGGGAGUGAAAUAGAACCUGAAACCAUAUGCCUACAAGCAGUCAGAGCUAGUGAGAGAUUAGAAAUUAGAUUCAAUCUAAUUUCUACUAGGCGCGAUAGCGCCGGUCAACUUUCUAGUUUCUCACAUUGUAAUGGCGUGCUUAUUGUAUAAGAGCCGGCGAGUUACGGUGAGUGGCGAGGUUAAGCUUGUAACAAGCGGAGCCGCAGCGAAAGCGAGUCUGAAUAAGGCGCCAAUAAGUCGCUUGCUGUAGACCCGAAACCGAGCGAGCUAUCCAUGGACAGGAUGAAGUUCGGCCGUUUGCGCGGCUGAGUGGAGGUCUGAACCCGUUGACUGAGAGAGCCAUGGGAGGAUCUGUGGAUAGGAGAGAAAAUCUACGCGAGCUCGGAGAUAGCUGGUUCUCCCCGAAAUGCAUUUAGGUGCAGCCUCGAGAUAGACCAACGGGGGUAGAGCGCCGAUUUGGUACGACGGCCCCUUAACUUUGUGGGUCGGAGCCCAAGUCGAACUAACGAAUACCGUUGAUCGUUUCUCGGGAGUGAGGCCGCGGGCGUAAAGGUCCGCAGCCGAGAGGGAAACAACCCGGAUCACCAGCUAAGGUCCCUAAGUAUAGACUCAGUGUUCUUAAGGAAGUGGGAUUGCGAAGACGACCAGGGGGUUGGCUUAGGAGCAGCCAUCCCUUAAAGAGUGUCGUGCGUGUAAGCUCACUGGUGGAGCGAUCCUGCGCCGAAAAUGUCCGGGACUUAAGUCUAUCACCGAAGCUGUGAGUUCUAGGUAUAUAUAAGGUGUGUCAGGGUUUUAACCUUGGCCGUCUUACCUAGAUCGGUAGGGGAGCGUUCUGUGGGAGUUGAAGCCAUCCCGUGAGGGCUGGUGGAUUCCACAGAAGAGAGAAUGCCGGCAUGAGUAGCUAACUAAGAUGGGUGAGAAUCCCAUCCGCCGAAAGCCUCAGGUUUUCCCAGCUCUGUUCAUCAACUGGGAGUUAGCCGGACCUAAGGCGAGGCCGAAAGGCGUAGUCGAUGGAUAAGCCGGUUAAUAAUCCGGCGCCACCGAUCCGUAGUUGUUAACGCAAGCUGUUCUCCGGUGGUUUGUUCACCGGUAGACGGCAGCUAGCAACUAAAAAGCGGGCGACGCGGGUAAGCCGCGUCGGGGGACGAGUGGAAGCCCACCCGGCAAGGCCGAACCGCUUAAAAAAACCCGCAAUUUGGAUCGGUGUCCGUACUGCAGACCGACACAGGCAGGCUAAGGGAUAAACCCUUAAGGCGAGCGAGACAACCCUCGUUAAGGAACUCGGCAAACUGACCCCGUAACUUCGGGAUAAGGGGGUCUUUCCUCGGGGCAACCCGAAGAAAGGUUCAAUUAAAUUGGCUCGAGCGACUGUUUAUUAAAAACACAGGUCUCUGCUAACUCGUAAGAGGAUGUAUAGGGGCUGACGCCUUCCCAGUGCCGGACCCUAAGAAGAGGGGUCGUAGGGUAGGAUUGUUGGGGUGGAGAGCCCCAACGAUUUCAACUGAGGGCUCCGAAUCGAAACCCCGGUAAACGGAGGCCGUAAGGGAAUGACGGCCCAAAGGUAGCGGAAUUCCCGGCGGAUAAUUUCCGUCAUGUCGAAAGGCAUAACGACUCGAGCGCUGUCUCAACGAGGGACUCGGCGAAAUUGGCUAAAUCGGUGAAUAGACCGGUUUCUCGCGGCGGGAUGUAAACCCCCGGAAGCUUGACUGCAGCUUGAUCUUGGGUGAACGCCCUAACCUGCCACCGUGAAUCCGGUGGGGGGACAGGGUCAGGUGGACAGUUUGGCUGUUUCGGCCCCCUCCUAAAAAGUAACGGAGGGCUCCAAAGGUACCCUCAGCACGAUCGGAAAUCGUGCAGUGUGCAUAAGGGCGUAUGGGUGCCUGACUGCUUAGGCCGACAGGCCGCGCAGGGGCGAAAGCCGGGCCUAGUGACGCGGUGGUACCAAGUGGGUGGGCCACCGUUACAUGGGAUAAAAGUUCUCCGGGGAAAUAGGGCCAAUCACCCCCGAAAGAUCACAUCGACGGAGUGGCUUGGCACCUCGUAGUCGGCUCAUCGCAUCCUGGGGGUGUAGGAGCUCCCAAGGGUUGGACUUGCCGUCCAUUAAAGCGGUAUGUGAGCUGGAAUAAGACCAUUGUAAGAUAGGUCGGAUCAAUAUCUGCCGUGAGCGUUGGAAACUUGAGGGGAGCUGCCCUAAGUACGAAAGGAACAGGGUGGACGGGCCUCUGGUGUACCAGUUGCCCCGCCAGGGGCACCGCUGGGUAGCUAUCGUUCGGAAGGGAUAAGCGCUGAAAGCAUCUAAGUGCGAAGCCCACCCCAAGAUGAGGUUUCCCGUCGGUUUAAAAACCGACGAAGGUCCCAGGUAGACUACCUGGUUGAUAGGCCGCAGGUGUAAAACCCGCGAGGGUUGCAGCCGAGCGGUACUAAUGUGACCGAUAAGCUUGAUAUU
rfam:Actinobacteria bacterium CG2_30_50_142 cg2_3.0_scaffold_285_c, whole genome shotgun sequence.